rnacentral:rRNA from 1 species
CAGCAGCCGCGGUAAUACGAAGGGUGCAAGCGUUAAUCGGAAUUACUGGGCGUAAAGCGCGCGUAGGUGGUUUGGUAAGAUGGAUGUGAAAUCCCCGGGCUCAACCUGGGAACUGCAUCCAUAACUGCCUGACUAGAGUACGGUAGAGGGUGGUGGAAUUUCCUGUGUAGCGGUGAAAUGCGUAGAUAUAGGAAGGAACACCAGUGGCGAAGGCGACCACCUGGACUGAUACUGACACUGAGGUGCGAAAGCGUGGGGAGCAAACAGGAUUAGAUACCCCUGUAGUCCCUGUCUCUUAUAA